rnacentral:rRNA from 1 species
GACGAACGCUGGCGGCGUGCUUAACACAUGCAAGUCGAACGGAAAGGCCCUGCUUUUGUGGGGUUCUCGAGUGGCUAACGGGUGAGUAACACGUGAGUAACCUGCCCUUGACUUUGGGAUAACUUCAGGAAACUGGGGCUAAUACCGGAUAGGAGCUCCUGCUGCAUGGUGGGGGUUGGAAAGUUUCGGCGGUUGGGGAUGGACUCGCGGCUUAUCAGCUUGUUGGUGGGGUAGUGGCUUACCAAGGCUUUGACGGGUAGCCGGCCUGAGAGGGUGACCGGCCACAUUGGGACUGAGAUACGGCACAGACUCCUACGGGAGGCAGCAGUGGCGAAUAUUGCACAAUGGGCGGAAGCCUGAUGCAGCAACGCCGCGUGCGGGAUGACGGCCUUCGGGUUGUAAACCGCUUUAGCCUGUGACGAAGCGUGAGUGACGGUAAUGGGUAAAGAAGCACCGGCUAACUACGUG